rnacentral:misc_RNA from 1 species
UUCGCAAUGUAAGUUAUUCUAGCAUUUUCCACAUUCAUAUUGAUAUUAAUGAAUCUAGAUAUUCAAUAUGAAUAUGAGAAAUGUUAGAAUGACUUACAUUGUGAA